UUUUUCUAGAAUUUUGAUAUUUCACGUUUUUAUUCCUUUAUUCUGUUUUCCUGGUCUACUUAAAAACAUUUGUAUGCAAACCUAGAAAACUACCAAGCCUGUCUCCCGUUAGCUGAGCCACUCAAGAAAGGAGAGUUAAUUGAACGCUAAUUGCUUAAUCAAGUAAUCAAACUAUUGACUGGUUUCUUCUUGUUGGAAAAAUUCAAAAAGUUAUUAAGGGUAUUUGUUAGUGUAGCAAGCUGGAAACCAGCAGAAUACUUUAGAAUGUGUUAUUUUUUUGAAGUCUGUGGUUUGGUGUGGACUGCCUGUGGCGGUUCAGUUCGAGCUAUGAGGUGCUCAUGGUCUAUUUUGCACACUGAGUAUGUCUAUGAGUAUUUGGGUUCAUGCUAGAGCUCAACAAUUUUUAUAUUCCAGAGCUCAUCCAAAUGUUCUUCCAUAGAGUGGAUCUACAUCCUGCCACAGAAGAAAUGCAUACUUGAGAUUUCUCAAUUUGGUAUUGGAGCCAGCUCAUAUGUAUGAGGUGCAAUAUGGCUAUGGAUGCUGAGGAACUGGCUUCACGAAGAAGAGAUAGCAAGUGCUAUCCAAGGCAGCAGGACAGGUGGUGUGAAAGACCUGUGGAAAACUUUUUGCCCACAGUGUGAAAACUGAACAAAUGUGUGGCAUGAAAAAUUUUAAGAUUAAUAUGCUGACUUUGCAUGAAGACUGAAUAUUCUUAGUACUGCAUUCUUGAAAAUACCUCCCAUGUGUCUGUCCUCAGUCAGCGGAGGUGUACUUUGAAGACUUGGCCCCCGACCAUGGAAAGAAGACUGCUUGGAUAGCACUAGCUGGAAUCACUCUGAAGGACUAUCAGUCUACGGAAUGGUUCUCUCACCACUGUCUGAGGCAGUCAACAGAACUGAAUUACUGGGUAUAUAUUUUUCCUACAAUGAGCUUUCUUCUUGUAAGUAACCUACUUCUUCAGAGUUUUCUGGUUUGCUUUUUUUUCCCUGAGAGGAGGAGGAAUGGGGUAGAUGAAAAAGGUAGAAAGCUAAAUCUGAAAGAAAAUAUUUGGAUUUCUUAUUGAUGCUUAUACUUCAGGAGGAAAUGGACAUCACUGCAAGUUAACAAAAUGGAAAUGUAUGUAUAUUAAAAGGAUUUUUUUGUUCUCGCCAGGAAUAGAAUGCCU
rnacentral:lncRNA from 1 species